UUAAAAUCCGUCAAGCGUACAAAGGGUAAGAAUUGUAAAAGGAAUGUGUAAACGUUAUAUUGAUUACUUUAUUUUGUGGUGCCUAAUUGAAGGGGAAAAGUGUUAAUCUGUGAUCUACUAAAUGCUCUUAAUCUAUGAGCCUGAGAUCGAUUGCUCUGGUCUCCACCCAAGUUCGCGGGGAAAUCGCGAGUUUUUCCUCAUUGCACUAAAGGUUAUUGAGGAAACAAUACCGUAUCGCUCUCGUGAUUAUUUCUCCCCUUUUUCAGGGGCGUAACAUUGUCAAGGUGUUGGAGAACCCGGAGGACCUUAUCAAUUACCAUACCCAGUUGAGCCAGCUGGUCUUGGUGUUGACAGAGGUGUUCCUGUUCGUCGACCAUCUGGGAGAUAUCAUGAACUUCUGCUGCUUCCAUAUCUUGAAAGGCAGUAUUCUGUAAUGUAUACACAGGGAAUCAGGAAGCAGGUGCAGAAGAUGAGUUUAAUAAUAAGAAACAUGAAGAUUAUCAAAACAGGAGUAGCAUACUGAACAUAAACAAAACUUUACUGCCUGAAGACUGAGGAUACUGAGAGCUAAAUAAAGGUAGACCGACAACGUUGAGUGCCGGAGUGUGAGAGCAGGAGUUAGCGUGACAUUUAUGAUGCAAAACAGGAUUUCUGUAUUUUGAAAGUUACAUAUCUUGAAAACUUGAUUGCUGACAAGUGUAAUCGAUGUGAAUUGGCUAGUAGUUAGCGGUGGUGCACGCUAAUAGCAUUUCAAUCGGUGACAUCACUCCCUCUGAGACCUGAAGUAGGGUUUCCCCUUGCAUUGCAAGGGCCGCGGCUUUUGUGGCGCGAUGGGUAACGAUGCUUCGUGGGGUGUCAGUGGUUAAUGUGUGCAGAGGGUCCCUGGUUUGAGCCCGGGUCGGGGUGAAGAGAGGGACGGAACCUUACACAAGCAAAUCAUUUUUGGGACUAUGUCAGAGGGGUUGGGUUAACUGCGGAAGACACAUUUCAGUUGAAGGCAUUCAGUUAUACAACUGACUAGGUAUCUCCUUUCCCUUUCUACAAGGUGUCGAAAGUAUUUCAUAGGGAUGCUGGCUCAUGUUGGCUGAAUAUCCAUUGGGUGGUGGACCAUUCUUGAGACACGUGAAACUUUUGAAUUUGAAAUACCCAGCAGCGUUGCAGUUCUUGACGCACUCAAACCAGUGCGCCUGGCACCUACUACCAUACCCCAAUUCAAAGGCACAUUUUGUCUUGCCUAUUCGUCCUCUGAAUGGCACAGAUACAAAAUCCCUGUCUGGAUUGUCUCAAGGCUUAAAGUCCUUCUUUGACCAGUCUCCUCCCCUUCACCUACACCAGGUAUGCCACCAGGGUUAUGCACAAUGCCGUCGGUGGUACACUCAAAAAAAACGUUGUUCACAUAAAAAAACAUAAGAAUUCUUCACAUAUUCAAACAGUACAUUUAUAUUUUCCCACGGGGCUAUACAUUUGGGUGAGUUUUUUUUCUCUCGCCUGAGUAGCCUCGUUUCACUGCCAAAAAUAAAAUGAAACCAUCUAGUGUUCAGCGAAAUAACAACACAAUGUCAAAUACAGGUAGCCUAGUCAAAUAAUGAACAUCCAAUCACAUUAACUGUCACGACUUCUGCCGAAGUCGGUCCCUUUCCUUGUUCGGGCGGCGUUCAGCGGUCGACGUCACUGGCUUUCCUGCCACCGCCGAUCCACUUUUCAUUUUCCAUUUGUUCUGUCUUUGUCUUACACACCUGGCUUCACUCAACCAAUUACUUGUUUAUUAUUUAACCCUCUGUUCCCCAUGUUGUGUUUGUGAGCGACUGUUUGUUGUAAUUUAGUCCGUCUUUGUGGGUUCGGUAUGUUACUUUGUAUAUUUUGUCUUUUUUGAGUAAAAGAACGUUGAUUACUCAUAUCUGCUGUCCUGCGCCUGACUCUCUACACCAGCUACACACAGGACCCUUACAUUAAGUGUUCCCUUUAUUUUUUUGAGCAGUAUAUA
rnacentral:lncRNA from 1 species